GGGGCUUUCAAUAAAGAAUUUCUCUUUUUAGUGCUUUGUGUUGUUGGCACAAAAUUCUAGUAUUUGGAAUGAGAAAUUGAUGUUGUGAAGCAAUUUGUGCGGAGACUANNNNNAGUGUCUGUCGCACAAGCAAAUUGCGAACUCAUCGAUUUAUCGUCCAAAGACGAAUUUUUUAUUGAAAGCCUUC
rnacentral:misc_RNA from 1 species